UUUGGAUGAACUCUUUAGAUGACGAGUCUGAACCUGUUGGCGUGCGGUUUCCUCACGACAGCAUCCAUGACGAGUCCUUCAAUUUUUACCAUUCAUGCAUAUCUGAUU
rfam:Rhizopogon vesiculosus strain AM-OR11-056 contig63447, whole genome shotgun sequence.